rnacentral:rRNA from 1 species
AUUAAAGGAAAUAAGAGCGCACAGUGGAUGCCUAGGCACCAAGAGCUGAUGAAGGACGCAAUUAACGGCGAUACGCUACGGGGAGCUGUAAAUAAGUGUAGAUCCGUGGAUUUCCGAAUGGGGCAACCUACUAUAAGUAGUUAUAGUAUCAAUUUAUUAGGUAACUAAUUGAUUGAAAGGAACGCAGUGAACUGAAAUAUCUAAGUAACUGUAGGAAAAGAAAGUAAUAACGAUUCCGGUAGUAGUGACGAGCGAACCCGGAACAGCCGGAUACCAAUUUCUAGUUAUCAAAUUUUAAUUAACUCGAAAUAGUUGGAAAACUAUAUCCUAGAAGGUGAAAAUCCUGUAGAGGUAGAUUAAAAUCUAGGGUAUCCUUAAGUACGGCGAGACACGAGAAAUCUUGUCGGAAGAUAGGAGGACCAUCUCCUAAGGCUAAAUACUCCUUGGUGACCGAUAGUGAACUAGUACCGUGAGGGAAAGGUGAAAAGAACCCCGGAAGGGGAGUGAAAUAGAUCCUGAAACUGUGUGCUUACAAGUAGUCAAAGCUCGUUUAAGAGUGAUGGCGUGCCUUUUGCAGAAUGAACCGGCGAGUUAUGAUAUAGAGCAAGGUUAAGUUUGAAGGAACGUAGCCGGAGCGAAAGCGAGUCUGAAUAGGGCGUUUAGUUGUAUGUCAUAGACCCGAAACUGAAGUGAGCUAGCCAUGAACAGGCUGAAGUGACGUGACCACGUCAUGGAGGGCCGAACCAGGACACGUUGAAAAGUGUUUGGAUGAUUUGUGGCUAGAGGUGAAAUUCCAAUCGAACUCAGAGAUAGCUGGUUCUCCCCGAAAUAGCUUUAGGGCUAGCGUUGGGUAUUUAAUAGUUCUUGAAGGUAGAGCACUAAAUGAGUGCGGGCUCCACCUCGGGGUACCAAUCUCAAUUAAACUCCGAAUGUCAAGAACCGUAUCCCAGCAGUCAGACGAUGGGUGAUAAGGUCCAUGGUCAAAAGGGAAAGAGCCCAGACCGUCAGCUAAGGUCCCUAAAUUAAUGUUAAGUGGUUAAGGAAGUAAAAACGUUAAAACAAUUAGGAAGUUGGCUUAGAAGCAGCCAUCUUUUAAAGAGUGCGUAAUAGCUCACUAAUCUAAUAUUUUUGCACCGAAAAUGUAACGGGGCUAAACAUUAUACCGAAGCUACGGAUAUGUUUCUACUAGAAAUAGUUAAGAAACAUGUGGUAGGGGAAGCGUUCUAACAUCGUAGAAGCUAUAGCGGAAGCAGUAGUGGAGAGGUUAGAAGUGAGAAUGCCGGUGUAAGUAACGAAAAGAUAGAUGAGAAUUCUAUCCGUCGAAAACCCAAGGUUUCCAGGGGCAGGGUCGUCCGCCCUGGGUUAGUCAGGAACUAAGGCGAGGCAGAAAUGCGUAGUCGAUGACCAGCAGGCUAAAAUUCCUGCACUAAAAAAAUCACUGAUGGAGGGACAAAAGAGGAUAAGCACGCCCUUUAUUGGAUUAGGGUCGAAAAAUCGAGUUUGAGAAGAUAGGCAAAUCCGUCUUCUUACUUGCCAAAAAAUAAGAUUUGAGGGUAACGUGACUGCGUUCAUAUUUUCUAGAAAAGCUUCUAAGGUUAAUGAUUUUUUUACCUGUACCGUAAACCGACACAGGUGGGAAGGUAGAGUAUACUAAGACGCGCGAGAAAACUCUUGUUAAGGAACUCGGCAAAAUGACUCCGUAACUUCGGGA